CAGGGUGUACCCCGCCUAUCGCCCGAUGUAGCUGAGAUUGGCACAGCACCAAGAGCUUGUGAAGAGGAUGUUAUUUGAGGAGUCUAAGGCAUUUGCGAGAGAUGGAGAUGAUAUUGGGUGUAACCCUAGCCUGCAAAUGGUGAUAAAUUUAAAAGAUGACAUCCCUGUGCAGAGGGCGUACACUUCCAUACCAAAACCGCUCUUGAAAGAGGUCAAAGAAUAUGUUCAGGAUCUUCUUGUGAGGGGAUGGAUAGUUAAGUCAAAGUCAUCCUCCUCUGCCCCGGUGGUGUGUGUGCGAAAGAAAGAUGGUACCCUGCGCCUUUGUUUAGACUAUCGGCUGCUGAAUCAGAAAACAGUACCAGACAGACACCAGGACCUGCUGGACACCUUGGGUGGAUAUUCUUGGUUCAGCAUCCUCGAUCAGGGUAAGGCCUACCACCAGGGUUUUGUAGCUGAAGGUUCACGCCACCUCACAGCCUUCAUCACACCCUGGGGGCUUUAUGAGUGGGUGAGGAUCCCAUUCAGUCUGUCCAACGCACCUGCAGCCUUCCACACGGCUGCCGCGGGGUUUUAAAAGGUAGUAAAAGGCAGUAAAUUAAAUUAGGCCAAAUUAAAGCCAGUAUAAAGUAGUAAAAAGUAGAUUUAGCAGUAAAACACCACUCGUUCAAGUCGAACGAUAACAUAGGAGAGCUCUUCUGCAUGAUGUUCCCGGACUCCCAAAUCGCAAAAUCGUUCGCGUUGGCCAAGGACAAGACCGGUUACAUAAUCAAAUUUGGCAUUGCCCCCUAUUUCAAGAAGCAACUGGUUGAGGCCAUCAAUCAUGCUGGACCGUACAUCCUGAUGUUUGAUGAGAGCCUCAACCAGUCAUCAAAGAAAAAACAAAUGGAUAUACACAUUCGUUUUUUGGAAAAUGGUUGUGUACAGUCCAGAUAUUUUGGCUCACAGUUCCUGGGACAUGGAAGAGCUGACGAUCUGUUGCGGCACAUCAAAGAAUGUGUUGCACAACUCAACAUGAGGGAGCUUCUCUCAAUAGGAAUGGAUGGCCCUAAUGUCAACUUUAGACUCCUGGAUUUCCUUCAAAAGGAGCAUGCUGAGCUGUACGGAGGUGCUCAAGUCCUGAUGGUUGGGAGCUGUGGACUGCACACCCUCCACAAUGCCAUGAAGGCAGGCUUCACAGCCUGGCAAAUUGACAAACUCCUGCGUGCGCUCCAUUUUCUCUUCCACAACGUUCCUGCCCGAAGAGAGGACUACACCAACAUCACUGGAUCAUCCUGCUUUCCCCUCUCUUUCUGCGGCCACAGAUGGGUCGAAAAUGUGCCGGUUGCAGAGAGAUUCCUGGAAGUUUGGCCCAUGAUUCGGAAGUAUGUUGAUGCUGCUGAGGCGAAGAAGGUCCAAAAACCGAACACGGCCUCUUAUGACCUCAUCCUGGCAGCACUAGGCGAUCCACUCUUAAUCCCAAAGCUUCAAUUUUUCCUCGCCAUUGCGAGAAGUUUUAACCCAUUUCUUCAGAAAUACCAAACAGAUGAGCCAGUGUUGCCUUUUUUGGCAAAAGAUUUAACUGAGCUUCUGUUGAGUUUACUGAGGCGGUUCAUUAAAAGGGAGCUCCUACAGGACCAAAGCCCCCUGCAGCUCAUUAUUUUGGACAUCUCUGAGGAGAAGAACUGGGUCUCCCUCAAAAGGGUAGACAUAGGCUUGGGGGCUGAAUCUGCCAUCAAGGCACUCCUGGGCAAACCAGGAACCAAGAUAGGGGAACUAUCUGUACUCAGCCUGAGAAAAGAGUGUUUGCAGUGUCUGAUUAGGAUCAUAAAGAAACUGCAGGAAAAGUCCCCAUUGAAAUUCCCCAUUGUUAGGCAGAUCCCACAAAGAUGGUCAAAGAUCCAGAGUGGUGCAUCGUACAGAUGAAGGCAUUGGUACAGACUUUCAUCCAGGGGCAGCAGCUGGCAGGUGGCAUUGCAGCUGGUGAUGUCAUCAUUCAACAAUUCACAUCCUUUCUCUCUGUCGUGGGCAGAGAAGAUGAGUUUGUUUCCUUCCAACCCCUGAGGCAGCGUCUCGAUGUCUUUCUCCACUCUAAACUCUGUACGUCCCAUCCUGACCUGCUAAAGUUCUGCCAAAGUGCUCUCCUCCUUUCCCAUGGACAGGCCACAGUGGAGAGAGGCUUCUCGGUGAAUAAAGAGGUAGAAACGGGCAACCUCUGUGAUGAAUCUCUCGAAGCCCUCAGGUUAAUCUGUGAUAAGGUAGCUGUUUGUGGUGGCGUUCUUAAAGUUCCUUUGACCAAGGAGCUCCUGGCCUCUGCUGCUUCAGCGAGGUCACAAUACAGGCUAUACCUUGAUAGUGAGCGGAAAAAAAAGGAGAGCGCUACACAAGAGCUGAAGAGGAAAGCAGCAAAGAAAGAGCUUGAGGACCUUCGGAACCAGCGGCAGGUACUCAAUAGCGUGUGCCAUUCACUUGAAAAUGAUGCCGACAAGUAUGCAGAGAUGGCUGAGGGAAAGGCAGGAACAAAGAUGGCUGAGCUCAUCACAAAAUCCAACUCUCUUCGUAGAAGACACAGGGACAAAAAAGCAGACCUUCUCCAAGUGGAAAAAAUGAUAGAAGAAAAAGCCACACAGCUGAGGCACUUGUAACUGCAAUUUUUUUUUGUGUCCAGUGUUGAAGUUAUUAAGUUGUUUGUUAAUAAAAUACUAUUACAGUGUAAAGUU